AUUAUCCGGUUGUGAAAAUUCUAGAGAUUUUCUAAUAACAUCAGUUCAUCAUAUAUCGUGUGGUCAGAAAUUAUUGUAAUUUUUUUUAUUUAAAAUUGAAUAUAAAUAGUACUUGAUAAAAACUGAUUACACGAUGAACGGAUGUAAUUGAAGGUUUUCCUGGAAUCUUCACAAAGUUGAUCCAUCCUCUCUAGAUACGUUGUGAUUGGCUCAUACAAUGCUGAGCUGGCAACAUUUGAACAGUGUUGUUGCUGUCAGUGGAGAGGUCACCUUUCGUUGGGACGCAUUGAAAGAUGCAGACCAUGUGGAGUGUUACAAAAGAAAAGCAGGAGUAGGCUUGUUUUUUUUUUUUUUACAUUGGGAGCAUUUGGCUAGAGAAGCUAGUGGAUGAAAGGUGAUUGAUGCCUUUGGCAUUUUUUUAAUGCAAGGAAAUGCUUGUAUUGGGGUAUGCUAGUCGAUUGAGAGGGCAGGCAUCAGGGAAGCAUCGAAAGUACUUGGAGUGUCAUCUUUCAAGACGAAGAAAUACCGAACCAAUCAAGGUAGAGAGAAGCUGGCUUCGUGUAAGAGGCAAGGAAAUUUCAAAGUGGUUUAAGGUGUUUUAGGUGAGAAAUUGAAAUAAGAGAGAAAGAUGUUUUUGUUGACGCUUGUUAAUCAGAUUGGACUUUGAUUCAACGCAUCAAAGCACAUGCAUGCCAAUUCUUUUUUCUUCUUUAAUUUAUGGGCUCCUCACCACU